rnacentral:rRNA from 1 species
GGGGCUAAUACCGGAUACGUUCCCCGGUUGAAAGACUGGGGAGGAAAGGUGGCGCAAGCUGCCGCUCUUGGAGGGGCUCGCGGCCUAUCAGCUAGUUGGCGGGGUAACGGCCCACCAAGGCUAUGACGGGUAGCUGGUCUGAGAGGACGACCAGCCACACGGGGACUGAGACACGGCCCCGACUCCUACGGGAGGCAGCAGUGGGGAAUUUUCCGCAAUGGGCGAAAGCCUGACGGAGUGACGCCGCGCGUGGGACGAAGGCCUUCGGGUCGUAAACCACUGUCAGUGGGAAAGAUGGGUGUCGGCGCUAAUACCGCCGGCAUCUGACGGUACCUGCAGAGGAAGCCCCGGCCAACUCUGUGCCAGCAGCCGCGGUAAGACAGAGGGGGCAAGCGUUGCUCGGAAUUACUGGGCGUAAAGGGCGCGUAGGCGGGAUGGCAAGUCGGUCGUGAAAUCCCUCGGCUCAACUGAGGAACGUCGAUCGAUACUGCUGUUCUUGAGGAUUGCAGAGGAGACUGGAAUUCCCGGUGUAGCGGUGAAAUGUGUAGAGAUCGGGAGGAACACCGGUGGCGAAGGCGGGUCUCUGGGCAAUUCCUGACGCUGAGGCGCGAAAGCGUGGGGAGCAAACGGGAUUAGAUACCCCGGUAGUCCACGCUGUAAACGAUGAGCACUAGGUGUGGGGGGGUUCAGUCCCUUCCGUGCCGCAGCUAACGCAUUAAGUGCUCCGCCUGGGGAGUACGGCCGCAAGGUUGAAA